GGAUGAUGAUGAUGAUGAUAAUGAUGAUGAUAAUGAUGAUUGAUGAUGAAAGUUCAUUUCUAUGUAUCAUUAAAAAAUCUCCCAUCAUCUUCAUCCUCAGCAUCAUCAUGAAUC
rnacentral:miRNA from 1 species